rnacentral:rRNA from 1 species
UACAGAGGGUGCAAGCGUUUAAUCGGAUUUACUGGGCGUAAAGCGUGCGCAGGCGGUUCGUUGUGUCGGCGGUGAAAGCCCCGGGCUCAACCUGGGAAUGGCCGUUGAAACUGGCGAACUGGAGUGUGGCAGAGGGGGGGUGGAAUUCCGCGUGUAGCAGUGAAAUGCGUAGAGAUGCGGAGGAACACCGAUGGCGAAGGCAGCCCUCUGGGGCUGACACUGACGCCUCAGGCACGGAAAAGCGUGGGGGAGCAAACAGG